UUAGGGAUAAGGGGUGCCACCAUCCGGUGGCCGCAGAGAAUAGGCCCAAGCGACUGUUUACCAAAAACAUAGGCUUCUGCUAAGUCGCAAGACGAUGUAUAGGAGCUGACGCCUGCCCGGUGCUGGACGGUUAAGGGGAUCUGUUAGAGCAAUCGAAGCAGUGAACUUAAGCCCCAGUAAACGGCGGCCGUAACUAUAACG
rnacentral:rRNA from 1 species